rnacentral:misc_RNA from 1 species
AUUCAAGGUGGAUAAGUGACACCAAUCAUGGUGGAAUGGGAAUAUAAAAUAAUGGUUCAGUCAUCAUAUGGCAAACAGCUGAUCCUACAACCUAAUUUACCUGCUUUCAUCAUUUUGUUUACUGGGAAGUGGCUGUGGCUUAGACUGAGAUUGUUCAGGAUAAGCUUAUGGUAUGUGACAGCAAUUCUGUUUCUGCUAGAGACAUCAAUGUUUUAUGAUGGGCUUUCCCCAGGAUCGCAUGAUGUGCAAUGAUGAUUGCAAUGCGUGU